AUUGAACGCUGGCGGCAGGCCUAACACAUGCAAGUCGAACGAGUGGCGGACGGGUGAGUAAUGUCUGGGAAACUGCCUGAUGGAGGGGGAUCACUACUGGAAACGGUAGCUAAUACCGCAUACCAUCAGAGGUGCCCAGAUGGGAUUAGCUUGUUGGUGGGGUAACGGCUCACCAAGGGGACGAUCCCUAGCUGGUCUGAGAGGAAGUCCAGCCACACUGGAACUGAUCCACGGUCCAGACUCCUACGCGAGGCAGCGUUGGGGAAUAUUCAACAGUGGGAGCAAGCCUGACGCAACCAGGCCGCGUGUAUGAAGAAGGCCUUCGGGUUGUAAAGUACUUUCAGCGGGGAGGCGUUACCCGCAGAAGAAUCACCGGCUAACUCCGUGCCAGCAGCCGCGGUAAUUC
rnacentral:rRNA from 1 species